CAGCAGCCGCGGUAAUACGUAGGGGGCAAGCGUUGUCCGGAUUUACUGGGUGUAAAGGGCGCGCAGGCGGAAUGGAAAGUCAGUGGUGAAAUCCUACAGCUUAACUGUAGAACUGCCUUUGAUACUUUCAUUCUUGAGUUCGGGAGAGAGAGACGGAAUUCCAGGUGUAGUGGUGAAAUACGUAGAUAUCUGGAAGAACACCAGUUGCGAAGGCGGUCUCUUGGUCCGAUACUGACGCUGAGGCGCGAAAGCGUGGGGAGCAAACAGG
rnacentral:rRNA from 1 species